rnacentral:rRNA from 1 species
GAUGCCUUUAACCGGGUGUCGGGGGCGGACGGCACGUUUACUUUGAACAAAUUUGAGUGCUCAAAGCAGGCUUAUGCCUGAAAAUUCUUGCAUGGAAUAAUGGAAUAGGACUUCGGUUCUAUUUUGUUGGUUUUCGGAUCCGAAGUAAUGGUUAAGAGGGACAGACGGGGGCAUUUGUAUGGCGGUGUUAGAGGUGAAAUUCUUGGAUCGCCGCCAGACAAACUACAGCGAAAGCAUUUGCCAAGGAUGUUUUCAUUGAUCUGGAGCGAAAGUCAGAGGUUCGAAGACGAUCAGAUACCGUCCUAGUUCUGACCAUAAACGAUGCCAACUGACGAU